rnacentral:lncRNA from 1 species
CGAUAUCAAUGUGUUUGGAUAAAUUCAAAAUGAUCCACAAUAUAUAUAUAUAUAUCAAUAAGACAUGAAUUGGAUAGACUCUUCCAAGCAAAACUCACUUACAUUGGCAUUCUUACAAGGGAAAUAUUUCAAGUAUCCAAUCAAAAACUUGAUAACUGGCACUGCCUCAGAUGAAAAAGAACAAGACAAUGCAGCAAUUGACAAAACUAAUUCCCUUGCAAACAACGCUGAAGAAGGCGGCGAAAAAGGUAAAUAAUUCCCUGGCAAACAGCGGUGAAGAAGGCGGCGAAAAAGGUAUUCUCAAAAUCGAAAAAUUCAACAAGGGUCUCAAAAAACUCAAUACAUUAACCAACCCCAUUUGUUUAUUUUGCAUUAUAAACAACAAAACUUGUUUUAUAAGCUCAGAUUGAACUUCAGUUCCCCACGAGCAAUAACUCUAACUUAAGGAUUAUUCUCAGUAUAAUCAAAACCUUGUUCCAAAAACUCAUUCUUCUGAAAUCCAAUUCUAACAAGAAACCCAAUUCCUUUAACAAAAACAUCAAUAAAACCCAAAUCACAACCUUCUAAAGAAGAUUGAAGUUCUAAUAAUCCACGAGAAGUAUUUAAUACACCUUGUUUAACUAAUUUACAAAGUUCACGAAUCGAUUGAUCAAUAACAGAAGAUGAAUUAGAAGUAAGACAUUGAGUUAUAACAUCUCGACCUUGAUUUGAAUCAGGAUUUAAGUAAUGUGGAGCUGAUUUAAGUUUUUGAAAGAUUGAAAUAACUGCAAGUUUUUGUAAAGAUGGUUGUGGAACUCUUGUUCUUUCAAGAAGAAGUUUGUAAGAAGAAUCCAUUGUAUUGUUACUGAGAAAAACUACGAGAAGAAGAAGAAGAACAUUGAAGUGAUUUGAGUUUUGGUGGGGGGGUGUGUGGUUUAAAAGGGUUUUUCAGUUAUGUUGUGGACUGGUGGGUGAAAAUAAAACUUUAUACUAACCCCCACAAGUUAAAC